rnacentral:tRNA from 1 species
GGGGAUGUAGCUCAGUUGGUAGAGUGCUUGCCUCACAUGCACAAGACCCUGGGUUCAAUCCUCAGCACCACAA